AUUGAACGCUGGCGGCAUGCCUUACACAUGCAAGUCGAACGGUAACAGGUUAAGCUGACGAGUGGCGAACGGGUGAGUAAUGUAUCGGGACGUGCCCAGUUGUGGGGGAUGACUGCUCGAAAGAGCAGCUAAUACCGCAUACGACCUGAGGGUGAAAGCGGGGGAUCGCAAGACCUCGCGCAAUUGGAGCGGCCGAUAUCAGAUUAGGUAGUUGGUGGGGUAAAGGCUCACCAAGCCGACGAUCUGUAGCUGGUCUGAGAGGACGACCAGCCACACUGGGACUGAGACACGGCCCAGACUCCUACGGGAGGCAGCAGUGGGGAAUUUUGGACAAUGGGCGCAAGCCUGAUCCAGCCAUGCCGCGUGCGGGAAGAAGGCCUUCGGGUUGUAAACCGCUUUUGUCAGGGAAGAAACGCUCUGGGUUAAUACCCUGGGGUAAUGACGGUACCUGAAGAAUAAGCACCGGCUAACUACGUGCCAGCCGCCGCGGUAAUAC
rnacentral:rRNA from 1 species